rnacentral:lncRNA from 1 species
AUGCAGCUGGAAUUUCAGGUGUGUCACCCUGGAGCUGAGGCCUCCAGAUGGACUCGUAGAAGGGAGAUGUGUAAGGCUCCAUCCCUCAGCAGCCCACGAUCUCUGAAGGUUUGCCACUGUGGCCAAUGUUUUAUGGAAGCUUCUGAGGCCGUAGAGCAGAGGGAAGUUCUGAGCACACGGAGGACAAGCCAGGGUGGUGCUGUGUGGCCGCAAACAACCCUAAGUAGGGGAUACGUGUGGGGGACAGGCUCUAACACCUUGAUUCCUUAUGUCUGUGUCUCUGCAGUAUGUUUCAUGGAGAGUCUGAGUGACAGCAACCAUGAUGAAAGUGAUACAGACUCAGUGGUGGAGAGCCUGAGCAGCCGCCAGGAUGAGGAGGCUGCAGACUCCUCUGGGACACCUUGAAGCCUCAGCCUGGGACUGGAAGAGUCCAAAAGUUUCCAUCUUGACCAGGAUACAAGAUUGACCUCACUCUUCAUCUAUUACGAGCCAACUUUAGUAUAAGCUUAGUUCUUUAUUGUCUAGAUUUAGUAUUAAGUUCUGAUACAUGUUUACUACUUGGUAUAUAAGAUUUUGGUAGAAUGUAAGAUUGUGUAUUAAAUAAUUGUUACCUAUCCAUUUGCUUUUUUUAAAACUAGUUUUCGAUAAAAUAAACACAGGUAUAGGAAAGCCCCCUUAAGCA